rnacentral:rRNA from 1 species
CAUGCAAGUCGAGCGGUAGCACAGAGAGCUUGCUCUCGGGUGACGAGCGGCGGACGGGUGAGUAAUGUCUGGGAAACUGCCUGAUGGAGGGGGAUAACUACUGGAAACGGUAGCUAAUACCGCAUAACGUCGCAAGACCAAAGUGGGGGACCUUCGGGCCUCAUGCCAUCAGAUGUGCCCAGAUGGGAUUAGCUAGUAGGUGGGGUAAUGGCUCACCUAGGCGACGAUCCCUAGCUGGUCUGAGAGGAUGACCAGCCACACUGGAACUGAGACACGGUCCAGACUCCUACGGGAGGCAGCAGUGGGGAAUAUUGCACAAUGGGCGCAAGCCUGAUGCAGCCAUGCCGCGUGUAUGAAGAAGGCCUUCGGGUUGUAAAGUACUUUCAGCGAGGAGGAAGGCGUUAAGGUUAAUAACCUUGGCGAUUGACGUUACUCGCAGAAGAAGCACCGGCUAACUCCGUGCCAGCAGCCGCGGUAAUACGGAGGGUGCAAGCGUUAAUCGGAAUUACUGGGCGUAAAGCGCACGCAGGCGGUUUGUUAAGUCAGAUGUGAAAUCCCCGGGCUCAACCUGGGAACUGCAUUUGAAACUGGCAAGCUUGAGUCUUGUAGAGGGGGGUAGAAUUCCAGGUGUAGCGGUGAAAUGCGUAGAGAUCUGGAGGAAUACCGGUGGCGAAGGCGGCCCCCUGGACAAAGACUGACGCUCAGGUGCGAAAGCGUGGGGAG